ACAAAUUGACGCAUAGGGAGGUGUCAGGGGGGUGUUUCCCCAACCAUUACUGGCUUUAUCAGAACUGAUCUGAUUGCUCAAAAUACUAAUCAGUGAAGGAAAAAAAUAUCAGAAUUGGGCUUCCUGUGUAAACGCAGCCUCUGACAAGUAGCACAAGGAAUCACAUUGACUCUCUUCAUAGUUUCCAAGUCGGACAUUUCUGAGUUUCCAAGUUCCGAGACGUCUUUAACAAGGCAGAAGGAUGAAAAAGUGUACAACUGGGGUGUAAUCAUUACGCCAAUUCUAUGGCAAAACGUUUGCAAAAGAAACCGUUUACUCCAAACGGUAAACAUAUUGAAAAGAAAACGAGAGUUUCUACUGGACAAAUUCAGGCAUUCGGCGACAAGGAGAACUCUGAGGGGGUGGUCAAAGUCCUGUCGUACGUGGAAGCGGUUUAGAAGGUCAAAAACACUACUGACGAGAUAGAGGUCGCCCAUCUGAUAAAGGAGCACAGGCUGGAGCGGGAACAACUACUGACAGACCGACCACCUGAAGUCCAAAGAGGUAUGGAAAACAUUGUUAAUGGAGAUGCCCAUGGCAUCAGUGCUAAGAGUCAUGGGUAAGAUGACACCAGACCAAGUCCUCUAACCAGGAAGGUCAGAUGUGGUAGCGGUUUGCGAGAUGAUCCAGAGUUUAAAAAAGUUGGUUGUGUCUGUUACAGGUUCUUGUGCGGAUGGAGGCAGAGACACUCUGAGGGAGCUAUAGUUCCUUGCACAAUCUCAGCCGACAUGUCUCUUCGUGAAGUAACAGCUAAGCUGGUCAAGAUAACCAGUGGCUAUACAGACUGCUCUCCCCAUUCUGUGGGCUUCGGAGAAAGGGAUCACUGUGAACAUGUUCAUCAUAUUCACCAACAGCGCCUGCUGGCACGGCCAACCCGGCGGAGUGUCUGAGGAUGUACAGACAUGUAAGUUGGAUGCAUCAAGGUAAUCCUCAGAGAAUGAUUAUGUGGUGUACCACUGUCUUACCCCCACUGCUCUGUCAAUGCCAACCUGUGCUGCAUUGAUUGAAAAAUAGACUUUUGGAAAACACUUGCACAGAUACCAUUUCACAUGGAAUAUAUUUUUUAAUUACAUGUGACUACGCUACUAACUACUCUUUAAUCACAAUUCAAUCAUGUUUGUGUCAUGCACCUUAUCUGUGUCAUUAUGUGCAGCUUGGUCAAGUACAUUCUGGGGUCGUUCCUCCUCAAAGCACAAGAAAGAGGAUUUCGACACUCACCAACGCAGAUUGUUCUGAAAUUGUUUCUGUAGUUAGAAACAUAAGAAAGCAUUUCUACAACAUUUUGUUGAAAUAUAAUUUGCACUGAGAAAUUAUGCAAAUUGAUUUCACCCAAAUUGGCAAUUUCAAUGUAGGAUUCAUAUAAUAUACAAUAAAUAUAGUAUGCAACAUCUGAUUUCCACGAAAAUAGCUUAGCAAUUAUUAAAAUAUGAGGAAUCCAAAUAAAUUAUAAAACGACACAUACCCACCCCAAUUGGUCAGUAUAUAGUAUCAGUUCUCUCUGUUUGAAAAGUUGUAUGAAGCUGUGACUUGGAGUAUUGUUUAUUCAUGCUAUGUAAUCUAGUCAGAGUAAAUCAUUAUUUUAUUUUUUCCUGUUUAGAGAGAUCCUGCUACUGCCAUUUUAUUUUUUUAAUGAUGGUGUCGUGUUUAUCAAAUGUAUCACAACAUUUUCUUUGGAACUUUGGGUAGAAAACCAAUAGCUUUUGCUCAUGAUGAAAAGACGUUGUGGUCAUCCACAAUUCAAGUGUCACGCCCUGACCAUAGAGAGCCCUUGGUUCUCUAUGGUGUUGUAGGUCAGGGCGUGACCAGGGGGGUGUUCUAGUUUUCCUAUUUCUAUGUUGGUGUACUUGGUAUGGUUCCCAAUUAGAGGCAGCUGAUUAUCAUUGUCUCUAAUUGGGGAUCAUACUUAAGUUCUCCAUUGUUCCCACCUGGGUUGUGGGAUAUUGUUUGUGCUUGUGCUAGUUGCAAUGCUGAUGUCACGUUUUUUUUUUUUGGUUUAUUUGUUUUAUUUUUUGAAGUUUCACCGUAAUAAAGAUGUAGAACUCUACACAACGCUGUGCCUUGGUCCAUCCAUUAUCAAGAUCGUAACAUCAAGCCAGUCCUCCAUGAAAAAAGUUGAGUUUGUCCUUCUCUUAGGCUUAAUCUGUGUCCAGAAAACCACCCCUGUGUGUUUGGUGAAGAAGCAAACUACUAGGCUACAGCAGUUCUAUUGGUUUCAAUGUUAUGGUCUCUAAGGGUUUUCAAUGGUAAAAGUCCCAAACACACACAGUAAAGGCUUUUGUAUUGGGUUAGGUUUAAUGGUAAGUGUCACUAAUCACACAACAUACCAUCACCAAAUUUACUAAGAAUUGGGGUUGUAACAGUUUGCGUUUCGGUACAGUGGGAAAAUUAAAUGUCAUUCACAAUGUUCCUGGCAUUGUCUGUUGUGACAGGACUUUAUGCUGGGACUCUUACAUUUCCACUCUGAUGCUGCGUUUUUGUAACCAUGUGGGAGUUUACCAGUUGUGAAGUCGUAAAUACAAUUUGUGAUGCAUUAAUCACUCUCAAACAAUUACUCCGAUCAGAAUUGGAUCAGGCAGCUGUGCUGACG